CGUUCAGGGACCCUGAUUUGCAUAGAUGUGGUUCUGGGAUUAAUCAGUCAGGAUCUUGAUUUUGACAUCUCUGAUUUGGUGCGCUGCAUGAGACUACAAAGACACGGAAUGGUUCAGACAGAGGAUCAAUAUAUUUUCUGCUAUCAAGUCAUCCUUUAUGUCCUGACACGUCUUCAAGCAGAAGAAGAGCAAAAACAGCAGCCUCAGCUUCUGAAGUGACAUGAAAAGAGCCUCUGGAUGCAUUUCCAUUUCUCUCCUUAACCUCCAGCAGACUCCUGCUCUCUAUCCAAAAUAAAGAUCACAGAGCAGCAAGUUCAUACAACAUGCAUGUUCUCCUCUAUCUUAGAGGGGUAUUCUUCUUGAAAAUAAAAAAUAUUGAAAUGCUGUAUUUUUACAGCUACUUUAACCUAUGAUAAUUAUUUACAAAAUUUUAACACUAACCAAACAAUGCAGAUCUUAGGGAUGAUUAAAGGCAGCAUUUGAUGAUAGCAGACAUUGUUACAAGGACAUGGUGAGUCUAUUUUUAAUGCACCAAUCUUGUUUAUAGCAAAAAUGUUUUCCAAUAUUUUAAUAAAGUAGUUAUUUUAUAGGGGAUACUUGAAACCAGUAUUUAAGCUUUAAAUGACAGUAAUAUUGGCAUAGAAAAAAGUAGCAAAUGUUUACUGUAUCAAUUUCUAAUGUUUACUAUAUAGAAUUUCCUGUAAUAUAUUUAUAUACUUUUUCAUGAAAAUGGAGUUAUCAGUUAUCUGUUUGUUACUGCAUCAUCUGUUUGUAAUCAUUAUCUCACUUUGUAAAUAAAAACACACC
rnacentral:lncRNA from 1 species